rnacentral:sRNA from 1 species
AGAUGAUAGUUCACAAAAUUUGUGACGGACGAAGGAUGCAGAUACCAUGAGCAGCUUUAGAGAUGUGAUUCAGGAACGCUGCCAUGCUAGAUGGAAGCAGUUGUAAGUGUUUAAUGUCAGCAAGACUCUAAUACGAUCAAGAUGGAGCCUGUCUUCUGCUCCAGCACUGGAUUUUUGUAACUGGAGGAUUCUGACUAGAGGUGGUGAAAUGACAGAACUCAUUCCCUUCUUUGAUUGGUGAUUUUGAAAUAAUCUUUCAUCAAGUUCCAUCUCCUUUACCCUCAUAUGGAGUAUAUCUCUCUGUCUGUUGUUAAACUAUGAUGACAUGUCUGUAGCUAUCAGAAAGAGAAGCUGGGAAGAACAUGUGACCCACUGGAUGGGACAGCCUUUUAAUUCUGAUGAUUGUAACACAGCAUGUCAUCAUGGACUAGUAGCUGACAGCUUGCAGGCAAGUAUGGAAAAAGAUGCAACUCUAAAUGUGGACCGCAAAGAAAAGUGUGUUUCACUACCUGACUGCUGUCAUGGAUCAGAGCUGAGAGAUUUUCCUGGGAGGCCAAUGGGUCAUCUUUCAAAGG